ACAAGACCCACCUGUCGAGCAGGGAUGAAAGUCGACCUUAGUGAUUUGAUGAUGUUGAGUGGAAGGGUCAUCGCUCAACGGACAAAAGUUACUCUAGGGAUAACAUGCUGAUCUUUUCCAUGAGUUCACAUCGAUGGAGAGGUUUAGCACCUCAAUAUCGGUUCUUUGCCACCUGGGGCCAUAGUAUGUUCUAAGGGUUGGGCUGUUCGCCCAUUAAAGCGAUACAUGAGCUGGGUUUAGAACGUUGUAAAACAGUUUAGUCCAUAUCUGGUGUGGGCGUUAGAGCAUUGUGAGGACCUUUCCCUAGUACGAGAGGUCAAAACUUUUGAAAAAUUAAAGACAAUUAAAUUCAC
rnacentral:rRNA from 1 species